rnacentral:rRNA from 1 species
UACGUAGGGGGCUAGCGUUGUCCGGAAUCAUUGGGCGUAAAGAGCGUGUAGGCGGCCCGGUAAGUCCGCUGUGAAAGUCGGGGGCUCAACCCUCGAAUGCCGGUGGAUACUGUCGGGCUAGAGUGCGGAAGAGGCGAGUGGAAGUUCCUGGUGUAGCGGUGAAAUGACGCAGAUAUCAGGAGGAACACCGGUGGCGAAGGCGGGUCUCUGGGCCGAUACUGACGCUGGAGGAGCGAAAGC